CAGAUGAAGCGAAGCAGAACCGGAGACAGUUAUUAACAUGGGGUAAUUCAUUGCAUGGCCGUAACGCAGAUGAUGCAUUGGAAAACCGAAGGCAGUUACUAACAUGGGGUAACUCACUACACGGUCGAGAUGCAGAUAAUGCCAUGAAAGAAAAUAGACAGCUAUUAACUUGGGGAAACUCAUUACACGGUCGAGAUGCAGGUGA
rnacentral:sRNA from 1 species